rnacentral:rRNA from 1 species
AUGGAGCCGACCUUGAAAUACCACCCUUUAAUGUUUGAUGUUCUAACGUGGACCCGUGAUCCGGGUUGCGGACAGUGUCUGGUGGGUAGUUUGACUGGGGCGGUCUCCUCCUAAAGAGUAACGGAGGAGCACGAAGGUUGGCUAAUCCUGGUCGGACAUCAGGAGGUUAGUGCAAUGGCAUAAGCCAGCUUGACUGCGAGCGUGACGGCGCGAGCAGGUGCGAAAGCAGGUCAUAGUGAUCCGGUGGUUCUGAAUGGAAGGGCCAUCGCUCAACGGAUAAAAGGUACUCCGGGGAUAACAGGCUGAUACCGCCCAAGAGUUCAUAUCGACGGCGGUGUUUGGCACCUCGAUGUCGGCUCAUCACAUCCUGGGGCUGAAGUAGGUCCCAAGGGUAUGGCUGUUCGCCAUUUAAAGUGGUACGCGAGCUGGGUUUAGAACGUCGUGAGACAGUUCGGUCCCUAUCUGCCGUGGGCGCUGGAGAACUGAGGGGGGCUGCUCCUAGUACGAGAGGACCGGAGUGGACGCAUCACUGGUGUUCGGGUUGUCAUGCCAAUGGCACUGCCCGGUAGCUAAAUGCGGAAGAGAUAAGUGCUGAAAGCAUCUAAGCACGAAACUUGCCCCGAGAUGAGUUCUCCCUGACCCUUUAAG